AAURCCUAGGAAUCUGCCUGGUAGUGGGGGAUAACGCUCGGAAACGGACGCUAAUACCGCAUACGUCCUACGGGAGAAAAGCAGGGGACCUUCGGGCCUUGCGCUAUCAGAUGAGCCUAGGUCGGAUUAGGUAGUUGGUGAGGUAAUGGCUCACCAAGGCGACGAUCCGUAACUGGUCUGAGAGGAUGAUCAGUCACACUGGAACUGAGACACGGUCCAGACUCCUACGGGAGGCAGCAGUGGGGAAUAUUGGACAAUGGGCGAAAGCCUGAUCCAGCCAUGCCGCGUGUGUGAAGAAGGUCUUCGGAUUGUAAAGCACUUUAAGUUGGGAGGAAGGGCAGUUACCUAAUACGUAUCUGUUUUGACGUUACCGACAGAAUAAGCACCGGCUAACUCUGUGCCAGCAGCCGCGGUAAUACAGAGGGUGCAAGCGUUAAUCGGAAUUACUGGGCGUAAAGCGCGCGUAGGUGGUUCGUUAAGUUGGAUGUGAAAUCCCCGGGCUCAACCUGGGAACUGCAUUCAAAACUGUCGAGCUAGAGUAUGGUAGAGGGUGGUGGAAUUUCCUGUGUAGCGGUGAAAUGCGUAGAUAUAGGAAGGAACACCAGUGGCGAAGGCGACCACCUGGACUGAUACUGACACUGAGGUGCGAAAGCGUGGGGAGCAAACAGGUAU
rnacentral:rRNA from 1 species